GUGUGUAAUGUAAUGUAUAAACAAUUUAUGUUUAUAUCUUCCGCAAACAGUUGUAGAAAUAGCGAACCGGAUCCGCGGCGUUUCGGGACUCGGAUUCGGGGCUGCUACAUACCCAUAUUGAGUGCUUGCUCUUUUUAAACACCUGUUAGCUCACAUAUAGCUAUAUAUUUAUCGGCGGGAGCUGAGUGUUUAUCCAUAUAGAGUCAUAGAAGUCUGCAUUGGCAGCCCACUGUAAGCCUUCUCACACUUUAGAAAUCCUUUCUCUUCAUCUUUGCACACACUAUUCUACAGAUUGAGAGUCGUGUGGUGUGCAUAUGCCUGGACUUCGGUCCGUGGUUUUCAUUUUUUGUAUAUAUAUAUAUAUAUACUUAUAUAUUUAUAUAUGGACUAACAUUAUAGAGUCA
rnacentral:lncRNA from 1 species